AACUGAUCUUGACUGGGCUGUGUUGCAUAUAUUCUCAAGCUUCCCUACCAAGGGUUCUCUGCAUCUCUAACAUGAGUACUUACUGUGUGCCAAACAUCCUAGGAACCUUCUGGUUUCCUGGAGUACCCACAGCCAUCUUUUAAAGGAGGUAUUAUACUCCCUCCUUUUUAUGUAAGGAAAGGAAAGACCUAAAGAGUGUUUUUCCUAAAUGACACACUCAGUAUAGACAUGACAUUUCAGAUGAAAUGUCACUUCCAGUUGGUAUCCUUUCCAGCAUGUCACAGCUGCUGUCUCACCUCCUCUGCUUUCUUUACUUGGCAUUUCUACCACCGCAACUCUUCAUGCCUCCCAGGGUAUACUUCCUCCAGAGGUAUGGACUUCAAAAUGUUUCUCUUGCAGCUCAUACAGUUAAAAAUAUAUUUUAGGGGCUGAUGGUAUUACUCAACAAUGACCCAUGCUUACUGCUUUUCAAAAGGACCCAACUUUGGAUCCUAGAAGCUACCCUGGGUAGCUCAAAUUUUUGUAGCUCCAGGGGAUCCACCGUGUUCUUUAUUGAGCUAGACACUCAUGUUCACAUGUACAUACUCAUGUUCACAUGAUCAAGAACCUCCCCCCACACACACAUACACUUCAGCCUGUGCUCAUAUACAUACAUGGUCAAAAAUAAAUUCACAUUCAUGUAUAAACAUUAGGGAACUAGGUUUCAUGAAAUGAUACCCUUACCAUGUUCAGGGUGCUCAAAGAUUUCCUUUUUUCUUAAACUUCAUCAACAUAUAUACAUGUGAGGGGUGUAUUAAUUUACUGAAUAGAUUCUGUAAUCCAGGCUUGAAGAGCUGUAUGUUGAAUCUCUUCUUCCUCCAGACACACUGCAUGGUUUCUGGAACACAUAGAGAGGUAAAGGGGUGAAGUGAUUCAUAGAUAUACUUUGGAUCUUUAGUAAAUGAAUUAAGCAUCAUUCAUACUUAAUAUCUAGUUCCAUAUUGUUCCAUCAUAGGGCCCGUGAGUCAGUAGGGUCACAUUCCAUAGGGUAUGCAAGUCCUGAAGAGAAUUCUCAAAAGUCAGAUGAGCUCAGACCUUCCUUACAAACCUUUGCAAGGCCUGUUUCAGCAUCUGUGGCUCAUAAGGUGUGUUAAUGAAUUCUUAUUUUCUUACAGCAAAGAAGUCUUAGAUAUGGUGGUUUGAAUGAGAAAUAGCCCCUAUAUGCUCAUGUAUUUUAAUAUUUAUGGAACAUUUAUUAAAUGGAGCCUUGCUGAAGUAUGCCACUGGUUUCGAGGGUUUUAUGGGUUCACCCUACUCCUCCCCUUUAUGUGGAUUCAAAUGUUAUCGGCCAGUUUUCGGCUUAUGCAGCCAUGCCAUGCUUUCCCCACCUAGAUGCACUCUGUCCCUCUGGAACGGUAGGCCAAAAUAAUCUCUCUUCUUUACAUUGAUUUUGUUCAUGGUAUUGUGUCACAGCAGCAGGAAGGCAAUGAAUACACACAGCUUACUGGUUAAGAACACUUGGUUCUCUUACAAAAGAUCAGAUUUUGGCUUCUAGCACCGAGAUGUGGUGCUCAGAGCUAUAUGUAAUUUCAGUUACAUGGAAUGAACCCCCCUCUCCCCCCCACACACACACACACGGGGAGGGGGAGGGAGAGAG
rnacentral:lncRNA from 1 species